UGGCCACAUUAUGUUGAAACACUGGUUUCUGUAUGAUCGCCAAAGCUAAGCAAUGUUGAGCCUGGUCAGUACCUAGAUAUUGGUGACCACUUGGGAAUACCAGGUAUUGUAAG